rnacentral:rRNA from 1 species
GACGAACGCUGGCGGCGUGCUUAACACAUGCAAGUCGAACGGAAAGGCCCUGCUUUUGUGGGGUGCUCGAGGGGCGAACGGGUGAGUAACACGUGAGUAACCUGCCCUUGACUGUGGGAUAACUUCAUGAAACUGGGGCUAAUACCGGAUAGGAGCUCCUGCUGCAUGGUGGGGGUUGGAAGGUUUCGGCGGUUGGGGAUGGACUCGCGCCUUAUCAGCUUGUUGGUGGGGUAGUGGCUUACCAAGGCUUUGACUGGUAGCCGGCCUGAGAGGGUGACCGGCCCCACUGGGACUGAGAUACGGCCCAGACCCCUCCGGGAGGCAGCAGUGCGGAAUAUUGCACAAUGGGCGGAAGCCUGAUGCAGCAACGCCGCGUGCGGGAUGACGGCCUUCGGGUUGUAAACCGAUUUCGCCUGUGACGAAGCGUGAGUGACGGUAAUGGGUAAAGAAGCACCGGCUAACUACGUG